ACUCCUACGGGAGGCAGCAGUGGGGAAUAUUGGACAAUGGGGGAACCCGUAGAUCCAGCCAUGCCGCGUGUGUGAAGAAGGCCUUCGGGUUGUAAAGCACUUUCAGUGGGGAGGAAAGGUUGAUGGUUAAUACCUAUCAGCUGUGACGUUACCCACAGAAGAAGCACCGGCUAACUCCGUGCCAGCAGCCGCGGUAAUACGGAGGGUGCAAGCGUUAAUCGGAAUUACUGGGCGUAAAGCGUGCGCAGGCGGUCUGUUAAGCGAGAUGUGAAAGCCCC
rnacentral:rRNA from 1 species